rnacentral:snoRNA from 1 species
UUACACAAAAUAUAACUUGUGCUAUCCAAAUAGUUGAAGGUUAAUUCACAGUAUAACUAUAAAUAGUAAUGCUGCCAUUUUCUCUCAGACAAAA